UUUACAGAACCUGAAGAAGGUGUUUGUAGAAUUUAGCCAUCAGGAGCUGUUUGAGUUCUACAAUAAGCUGGAAACUAUACAAGCACAGCUGGAUUCCCUUACGUGAUGUUUUUGAAGACUUACUUCUCCAUCAUGCUCCUGCCACCUCAUUAUUUUGAUUUGAAGAUAGAUUGCCAAGCUGUGUUUCCUGAAGGAUUCAGCGGGUUGCUUCUUGUAAAAUUAUAUGGCUUAUCUGCUUUUUAGACCAGUGCCGUUAGCCAGGAGUCUUUACGAGGGUCUAAAGAUUCUAGUGGACUUUCUCUUGUUUGCUUAGCAGUUGUGAAAAAUUUGCCAGUCUUCUUUGCUUGCAGUGGGGAAGCACCCUGCCCACCCCUCCCCCCCUAAAAGAAUACUAUCCUGCCUCAGAAAUUUUUUUUUUUCAUCCUAUUAUGCGUGUUAUUUGAUUCUAGUAGAAAUUUGCAUAUUAGUGAGAAACUGGGGAAAAACUCCUUUUUCCGGACAUAAAUGUAGAAAUUGUAAGAAAAUACACAGCUAAUAAAAUCUCUAUACUUUUAAAAUAUUAUUCACACAAUAGAUAAUGCUUCUUACAGAUUUGUCAAAAUAAAUUCAGAAAUUUAAAAGCA